rnacentral:tRNA from 2 species
GUGCCUGUAGCUCAGCAGGAUAGAGUAGCACACUCCGAAUGUGAAGGUCGGGCGUUCGAAUCGCCUCAGGCACACCA